AUACGUAGGUGGCAAGCGUUGUCCGGAAUUAUUGGGCGUAAAGCGCGCGCAGGCGGUCCUUUAAGUCUGAUGUGAAAGCCCACGGCUCAACCGUGGAGGGUCAUUGGAAACUGGGGGACUUGAGUGCAGAAGAGGAAAGUGGAAUUCCAAGUGUAGCGGUGAAAUGCGUAGAGAUUUGGAGGAACACCAGUGGCGAAGGCGACUUUCUGGUCUGUAACUGACGCUGAGGCGCGAAAGCGUGGGGAGCAAACAGGAUUAGAUACCCUGGUAGUCCACGCCGUAAACGAUGAGUGCUAAGUGUUAGGGGGUUUCCGCCCCUUAGUGCUGCAGCUAGCGCAUUAAGCACUCCGCCUGGGGAGUACGGUCGCAAGACUGAAACUCAAAGGAAUUGACGGGG
rnacentral:rRNA from 1 species